rnacentral:lncRNA from 1 species
UUUUUUUUUUUUACUAGCUCCCCUUUCCCAGCGUUUUCCUCCCCUGGGAGAGAAAGUCCGAGCUUGCGCCUGCAUGGAGCCAUCAGAAAAUAAGCCAUCCAUCGGGCACCGCAGCCUCCUCGGGAAGUGAAGCAGAAGAAACAACCCUGCAGCAGCUCACGUCUGUUUAACCCUUCCUGGCAGCAGCUCUUCAGUUAAACAUCAGCUGUCCAUGGCAGAGCUUUAGGGAUUGUGUUCCUUCUCCAAAUUCUGGGCUCUAAGGAUGCUGAAGGUAGAAGCAGUAUUACCUCCCCAGUCCAACGCACACAAGCAGUGCGUGCACUGUGCUGUGAACUACAGGGCAGCCUGCUUUGAACUUGCUGUGACAGCCUCGGUUAUCCCAACCCUCCGCCUGCUCCAGCUCACGUAAUGCUGACCAGAAAGUGGGAAACACCACUAGCAGGCUCUGGCUCUGCCACCUCACUCCCCUGGGCAGGGCUUUCCCUCAUCAGCAUCCCCAGGAACAUGAUGAAGUCACUCUUGGGAUGAGGCACUGCCCAGAGCAAGCCCAUGCGAUGGAAUCAGAGGUUGCAGUUGUUGUUUAUUAUCAAUAAAGUAAAUUAAGU